CGGAGAGGGCGCAUGAGACAAGGGCCCAGGCCCUACGGGGCGCAGCAGGGGCGAAACCUCCACAAUGCACGCAAGUGCGAUGGGGUUACCUCGAGUGCCGCCUGAAGAAGGCGGCUUUUCCACGGUGUAAUGAGCCGUGGGAAUAAGGGGGGGGCAAGACUGGUGUCAGCCGCCGCGGUAACACCAGCCCCCCGAGUGGUGGGGAUGAUUAUUUGGCCUAAAGCGUCCGUAGCCGGCCCGGUAAAUCUCUCGUUAAAUCCAGCGUCCUAAGCGUUGGGCUGCGAGGGAGACUGCCGGGCUAGAGGGUGGGAGAGGUCAGCGGUAUUUCUGGGGUAGGGGCGAAAUCCAUUGAUCCCAGGAGGACCACCAGUGGCGAAGGCUGCUGACUAGAACACGCCUGACGGUGAGGGACGAAAGCUGGGGUAGCGAAUCGGAUUAUAUACCCGAGUAGUCCCAGCCGUAAACGAUGCAGGCUAGGUGUUGGGCCGGCCACGCGCCGGCUCAGUGCCACAGGGAAGCCAUUAACCCUGCCGCCUGGGGAGUACGGCCGCAAGGCUGAAACUUAAAGGAAUUGGCGGGAGAGCACCACCAGGGGUGAAGCCUUGCGUUUUAAUUGGAGUCAACGCCGGG
rnacentral:rRNA from 1 species